AUGUAUUUAAUUCCGGCCCAGUCUUGGGAUUUUCUUGCUCUGACUCAAAUACAAAGUGAGCAGCUGGUUUAUGGCCCAGCAGGAGCCAGAGGCGACCCACCGACUUCCCAAUCGAGAGCUCUUCCCACCCCGCAGCACGUGCCACAGAAGACCUGAAGUUGAGAGUCUCUCAGAGCGGUUGUGAGUGCACCCUGGAGGCAGGUGGCUUUGAGUUUGGAUUUCAGCUCUGCUCUGACUAGCCCUGUGACUUCCAGAGAGGUUAUGACCUUCCUGGGUCUCCAGUGUUUCAUGUGCAAAAUGCAGGCCACAGCGUUUCUGUUGCAAUAUUGCUGUGUUUAAAUGAGACUGUGUGUUUGAAACGCAUCUUGCAGUGCCUGGGGUGCGGCACCUACCCAUAGUAUGAAUAAACAAUAGUUUAAUUUUACA
rnacentral:lncRNA from 13 species